rnacentral:rRNA from 1 species
GACGUAGGGUGCGAGCGUUGUCCGGAUUUAUUGGGCGUAAAGAGCUCGUAGGCGGCUCGUCGCGUCGACCGUGAAAACCCGCGGCUUAACUGCGGGCUUGCGGUUGAUACGGGCGGGCUAGAGUUCGGUAGGGGAGACUGGAAUUCCUGGUGUAGCGGUGAAAUGCGCAGAUAUCAGGAAGAACACCGGUGGCGAAGGCGAUCAUCUGGACCACAACUGACGCUGAGGCGCGAAAGCCAGGGGAGCAAACGGG